GGGAACUUGGUCUAGUGGUAUGAUUCUCGCUUUGGGUGCGAGAGGUCGUGGGUUCGAUUCCCGCAGUUCCCC
rnacentral:tRNA from 2 species